UACGUAGGGACCAAGCGUUGUUCGGAUUUACUGGGCGUAAAGGGCGCGUAGGCGGCCUUCUAAGUCAGACGUGAAAUCCCCAGGCUUAACUUGGGAACUGCGUCUGAUACUGGGAGGCUUGAGUGCGGGAGAGGGAUGUGGAAUUCCAGGUGUAGCGGUGAAAUGCGCAGAUAUCAGGAGGAACACCGGUGGCGAAGGCGGUUAGCUGGGCAGUUGCUGACACUGAGGCGCGACAGCGUGGGGAGCGAACAGGG
rnacentral:rRNA from 1 species